AUUAAACUAUUAGCUUAAAAUAAGCUUUAAUUGAUAAACUAAGAUAGUGUUUCCGAUACCUUAUAACGCAUCAGUUACAGACACUUAACACGGGUGUAUCCAUAGGAAGGGUUGUGCCUGGGGACAUUUGAAAAAGAGAUUUCAUAAUAAACUUUUUUUGGAUCAUAAUGAAAUUGAACACUGCAAACUGUAAAGCCUUCCUCUGCCUUUGAAUCACUGAAGAAUGAAUAAUAAUGAAAGUAAACCUAGAAUGUUGUAAAUAUGUGAUGGAAAGUUGCCCAGGUUCGGGAUGUCUGUUGCCAUGACAACAAUGGACCUGUCUCCUGAAGGCUGGGUGACUUAGCAGCAUGAAGCACACAGUAACACCCGGUUUAGCUUCAUCAGAUGCUGUGCCAUUCACCUUGCUAAAUCUGGAGCAACUCUGCAGGAGAUUCGAGCCACCUUUUGCAUUCUUUACCAUCCAUCUUUAACACUUUGUCUUGUAUUUUACCCUUGACUGGAAGAUCUAACAUGAGCUCCUGUGGAUUUAGCAGCAGGAUUGAGAUGAAAUGGAUUUUCUGAGUCCUUAUCCUGAGUCUCUUCUUCCAAUAAGGAUUCCAAGAAAAGAGGGAAUAAACUGGAAUUGAAGAAUGCAUCAUUCCUGAGUCUAAUCUCAGUCCAGCAACACAGGAUUCAGCUAUGAUACCUCCUGCUUCUGUACCUGUACCAUGAUCUGCCAAAUAUUGUAUCUGCCAGGGGUUUACCUCAUAAAUGGUGUUUUACACUUUAUGGAUCGGGUUGGUUAAAAUUCACUUCAUUAGCAAAAUCCUAUAAACCUAUUUACUGGUAUAAAUGAAAAAUAUGGUCUCACACUUCUGGAUGCUAUUGUUAAUGAGAAACUAUAAUGAGGAAUAAGUGU